rnacentral:rRNA from 1 species
ACGCUGGCGGCGUGCCUAAUACAUGCAAGUAGAACGCUGAAGAGAGGAGCUUGCUCUUCUUGGAUGAGUUGCGAACGGGUGAGUAACGCGUAGGUAACCUGCCUUGUAGCGGGGGAUAACUAUUGGAAACGAUAGCUAAUACCGCAUAACAAUGGGUGACACAUGUCAUUUAUUUGAAAGGGGCAAUUGCUCCACUACAAGAUGGACCUGCGUUGUAUUAGCUAGUAGGUGAGGUAACGGCUCACCUAGGCGACGAUACAUAGCCGACCUGAGAGGGUGAUCGGCCACACUGGGACUGAGACACGGCCCAGACUCCUACGGGAGGCAGCAGUAGGGAAUCUUCGGCAAUGGGGGCAACCCUGACCGAGCAACGCCGCGUGAGUGAAGAAGGUUUUCGGAUCGUAAAGCUCUGUUGUAAGUCAAGAACGAGUGUGAGAGUGGAAAGUUCACACUGUGACGGUAGCUUACCAGAAAGGGACGGCUAACUACGUGCCAGCAGCCGCGGUAAUACGUAGGUCCCGAGCGUUGUCCGGAUUUAUUGGGCGUAAAGCGAGCGCAGGCGGUUUGAUAAGUCUGAAGUUAAAGGCUGUGGCUCAACCAUAGUUCGCUUUGGAAACUGUCAAACUUGAGUGCAGAAGGGGAGAGUGGAAUUCCAUGUGUAGCGGUGAAAUGCGUAGAUAUAUGGAGGAACACCGGUGGCGAAAGCGGCUCUCUGGUCUGUAACUGACGCUGAGGCUCGAAAGCGUGGGGAGCGAACAGGAUUAGAUACCCUGGUAGUCCACGCCGUAAACGAUGAGUGCUAGGUGUUGGAUCCUUUCCGGGAUUCAGUGCCGCAGCUAACGCAUUAAGCACUCCGCCUGGGGAGUACGACCGCAAGGUUGAAACUCAAAGGAAUUGACGGGGGCCCGCA